rnacentral:rRNA from 1 species
CUACGGGCGGCUGCAGUCGAGGAUCUUUCGCAAUGGGCGAAAGCCUGACGAAGCGACGCCGUGUGAACGAAGAAGGCCUUCGGGUUGUAAAGUUCUUUCGCUUGGGGACAAGGGAAGCAGGUGAACAAUCUGCUAACUUGAGAGUACUAGGUAAAGAAGCACCGGCUAACUCCGUGCCAGCAGCUGCGGUAAUACGGAGGGUGCAAGCAUUAAUCGGAUUUAUUGGGCGUAAAGGGCGCGUAGGCGGCCCUGCAAGUCGUGCGUGAAAUUUCAUGGCUCAACCAUGAAGCUGCGUGUGAAACUGCAAGGCUAGAGUUUAGGUAGGGAAAAUGGAAUUCCACGUGUAGCGGUAAAAUGCAUAGAUAUGUGGAGGAACACCGGAGGCGAAAGCGAUUUUCUGGUCUACUACUGACGCUGAGGCGCGAGAGCAAGGGGAGCAAACAGGAUUAGAUACCCCGGUAGUC